GCAAAGAGUAGGACACGACUAAGCGACUAAGCAUACUCACACAUUAGGCCCUUUGGAUAUAAAGAUUGAAUAGAAUACCGUCUCUGGUCUCUAGACCUUGGACAGAAGGGAAAAGAGUAGUCUCAGAGUUCCAGGUCACAUCACACAGGGCCAAGUCUUUAUCUCCCUCCCUUCAUGUAAAAAGUCUGAUUGGGACUGCUGGAGGAAGAGUUGAAAACAAGCAGUUAGCAACUGUGUAGAGUGAAUUCAUUUCUCAUCCAAUCUCCGUUCUCUGGCAAAUCCUCGGGCAGCUCAUGAUGGACCUCUCUGCCAGUGUGACACCUCACAGCAACGCGAGACCUUUCUCUUUGCACAGCAUGCUUUAAUCCAUGGCUGCCUGUUUUCAUAUUUGCUCAGUAAAUAGCCAUUGCCUUGUUCAGGACUCCUCUUCACAUGUAAGAAGCAUCUCCAAAAGCCAAUUGGAUCCUGUUAUUUUUUUCACCUCUCCUAGGC
ensembl:lncRNA